rnacentral:rRNA from 1 species
CAGCAGCCGCGGUAAAACGGAGGGCGCGAGCGUUACCCGGAUUUACUGGGCGUAAAGGGCGUGUAGGCGGCCUGGGGCGUCCCAUGUGAAAGGCCACGGCUCAACCGUGGAGGAGCGUGGGAUACGCUCAGGCUAGAGGGUGGGAGAGGGUGGUGGAAUUCCCGGAGUAGCGGUGAAAUGCGCAGAUACCGGGAGGAACGCCGAUGGCGAAGGCAGCCACCUGGUCCACUUCUGACGCUGAGGCGCGAAAGCGUGGGGAGCAAACCGGAUUAGAUACCCCUGUAGUCCCUGUCUCUUAUAA